CCUACGGGUGGCAGCAGUGGGGGAUAUUGCACAAUGGGGGAAACACUGAUGCAGCGACGCCGCGUGAAUGAAGAAGUCUUUCGGUAUUUAAAGCUCUAUCAGCAGGGAAGAAAAUGCCAGUACCUGACCAAGAAGCCCCGGCUAACUACGUGCCAGCAGCCGCGGGACUACGUCGGGGGCCAGCGUUAUCCGGAUUUACUGGGUGUAACGGGGGCGUAGACGGUUAUGUAAGUCUGGAGUGAAAGCGCUGGGCCCAACCCCGGGACUGCUUUGGAAACUGUGUAACUGGAGUACAGGAGGGGAAGGCGGAAUUCCGGGUGUAGCGGGGAAAUGCGUAGAUAUCAGGAGGAACACCGGUGGCGAAGGCGGCCUGCUGGACGGAAACUGACGCUGAGGCUCGAAAGCGUGGGGAGCAAACAGGAUUAGAUACCCCUGUAGUC
rnacentral:rRNA from 1 species